AGAGAUGUGUGAUGACGCAUAUCAAUAAGCGGAGGAAAAGAAACUAACAAGGAUUCCCUUAGUAACGGCGAGUGAAGCGGGAAGAGCUCAAAUUUGAAAUCUUCAAGGUACUACCUUGACGAAUUGUAGUUUAUAGAAGUGUUUUCUGUUAGUAGAGUGGCAAAAGUUCUUUGGAAUAGGACAUCAUAGAGGGUGAGAAUCCCGUAUUUGGUCAUUCUUUCUAGCUUUGUGAUACACUUUCAACGAGUCGGAUUGUUUGGGAAUGCAGUCCAAAAUGGGUGGUAAAUUUCAUCUAAAGCUAAAUAUUGGCGAGAGACCGAUAGCGAACAAGUACCGUGAGGGAAAGAUGAAAAGAACUUUGAAAAGAGAGUUAAACAGUACGUGAAAUUGUCAAAAGGGAAGCGUUUGACACCAGUGUUGUUUUUCCGAAAAUCAAUUACGAAUGUUUUGUUUUUGAGAAGUUAUGACUUCAUCGGCUUGCUCCUUUCUUUAUGAAACUUUCUUAAUGCACUUUUCGGUUAACAAGUCAACAUCAAUUUCUUUUGUUGUAAAAGGGUAUGAGGAAGGUGGCUUUCUUUUCGGAGAAAGUGUUUAUAGCCUCGUACCUCUGCAAUCGGAGAGAUUGAGGUCUGCAGCGUAGAUCCUUCGGGGUUAGAUACAUUUGUGCUAAGUUAUAGCUUUUCAUAGACAACUUGUUGACUAUGUUUAGUCUUGUAGCUUACUCGCUUACUGCUAUUUUACCUACGCUUAGGAUGUUGAUAGUCACAGCGUGUAC
rnacentral:rRNA from 1 species